UACGAAGGGGGCUAGCGUUGCUCGGAAUUACUGGGCGUAAAGGGCGCGUAGGCGGAUAUCUAAGUUGGGGGUGAAAUCCCGGGGCUCAACCUCGGAACUGCCUUUGAUACUGCAAAUCUCGAGUCCGGAAGAGGUGAGUGGAAUUCCUAGUGUAGAGGUGAAAUUCGUAGAUAUUAGGAAGAACACCAGUGGCGAAGGCGGCUCACUGGUCCGGUACUGACGCUGAGGUGCGAAAGCGUGGGGAGCAAACAGG
rnacentral:rRNA from 1 species